ensembl:snoRNA
GUAUGGAUUUGGAUUUGUGGCAGCUCCGUCCCCCUGGGUUUUCACAAUGUCCCACACCAGAGCAAGCUGUGGCCCAGAACCAUUGCCUGCCCCUGCCCAUAGGCUAUUGGCACUGAAGCAGGUUGUACAAUG